AGACAAGUGACAGCUAAGGCUUUAGUUACUUGCUGUGACAGCAUAAGCAAGAGACUGAAAGCUGUUCUAUUUUCCUUCGUGGAACAGCAGGCUGGUUGGUGAUGAGGGAACUCUGAAUGAAACGUUCUGGCAAUUUUCUAUACUCUGGGGACUGCGGUGGAAAUUGGCCUUUGACAGAAGAGCAUCAAUAAUCGCACUGAAGUGAUGACCAGUGUACUCCUGAAGGCUCCUGACUCUCCAGAAUAGUUGGGCACCUGCAGAAUGCAGAGACUUCGUAGACCGUGUUGCAAUCCCUGCUGUUACGUCCAAAGCCAGAGGACAAUGACCACAAGGCCGAGGUCGUCCUUGAAGUUAGACACAGGAAAUGGCACAAGUAAGCUAGCGAUAUCUACAGUUAUUAAAAGGAAACAAAGGUAAGGUGUGAGAAUGUUUGCCUUCUUUCGUAACUAAUUAGUAGUUACUUCAUUCAUGAAAGGAAAGCAUCUACUCAGCGUUUCAGCAUACUCAGGUAUUGUCAUUGUUCCCUUCUUCUCCUUCUGAAAUUAUCUUUUACUCAUGGACUUUGAGAUUUGCAAGGUGCCUUGGAAGAAAUUACUUUCUUCUUUAGGUUCAAAAGCAAUAGUUGGGCUUGUAGUGCACACAACCGUCAAAAAUUUGUUGUCUAUUCAAAGACACUCUUAGAAUGUCUGAGCUAUAAUUGAAAAUAUAAUACAAAUAAUAAAUGAUGCUUCUAUGAUGUUGGAGAGUUAUGAUUGCAAGGAACUUAGAAUAUGGAGAAUAGAUAAGCAGUAGACAGACAGACAGAUUGGACAAGUAGAUAUUCUGCCAUAAUACUGUCCCGCUAAUGGCUAAGAACAUAGCCCCUGAUUUCUGAGACCACCUUUACUGCUUAUAUUGAUUGCAGAUUCCUUAAAAUUCAAUAAUCAUUUUCAAGAAAACUAUCCAAAUAAUCUAAUAUUGGGUGGAUUCCAGCAGGGCACCAGGAAUUCUUUCCACUAAUUUUCACAGACAACUUCUGGAAGUAAUUGUUAAUCACCCAAAUAUAUACAGAUAGAAAAAUAGGGAGUACAAGUGAUUUAUCCAGAUUUAGCUGGGAAGGGGACAAUUGGGAAUACCAACAAAGAUCUUUGAUUUUAUGGCAAAAAAAAUGUUUUAACAGUGUUUCUUGUCUUUUUAAUUAUUUGAAUGUUUGUAACAAAUAUAAUGCAGCAGUAAGUAUUAAAUAAAAGCCUCGUAAACAGAAAUAGAACUAGGCACCUUUAAAAUUAUAAGCUUUUGGGCGUUCCUGUUGUGGCGCUGUGGUUAAUGAACCGGACUAGUAACCAUGAGGUUGUAGGUUCGAUCCCUGGCCUUGCUCAGUGGGUUGAGAAUCUGGCGUUGCCGUGAGCUGUGGUGUAGGUCACAGACGUGACUCAGAUCCCCCAUUGCUGUGGCUGUGAUGUAGGCCGUUAGCUACAGCUCGGAUUUGACCCCUAGCCUGGGAACCUCCAUAUGCCAUGGGUGUGGCCCUAAGAAGACAAAAAUAAAUUAAAUAAAUGAAUGUGUGUGUGUGUGUGUGUGUGUGUGUGUGUGUGUGUGUGUGUAUAAACUUUUGGAGUUCUUUUGUGGCGCAGUGGGUUAAGGAUCUGACAUUGCCAUUGCAGCAGCAGCUUGGGUUGCUUCUGUAAUACAAGUUCAGUCCACAGCCCAGGACACUUCCAUAUGCCAUGAGUGUGGCCAAAAUAAUUAUAAACUUUUGGAAGUUCCCAUUGUGAUGCAAUGGGAACUAACCUGACUGCUAUCCAUGAGGAUGCAUGUUCAAUCCCUGGUCUUGCUCAGUGGGCUAAGGAUCUAGCACUGCCAUGAGCUGGUGUAGGUCACAGAUGC
rnacentral:lncRNA from 9 species